rnacentral:misc_RNA from 1 species
GAUGAAGAACGUAGCGAAAUGCGAUAAGUAAUGUGAAUUGCAGAAUUCAGUGAAUCAUCGAAUCUUUGAACGCACAUUGCGCCCGUCAGUAUUCUGGCGGGCAUGCCUGUUCGAGCGUCAUUACGCCCCUCAAGUCCCCUGUGGACUUGGUGUUGGGGAUCGGCGAGGCUGGUUUUCCAGCACAGCCGUCCCUUAAAUUAAUUGGCGGUCUCGCCGUGGCCCUCCUCUGCGCAGUAGUAAAACACUCGCAACAGGAGCCCGGCGCGGUCCACUGCCGUAAAACCCCCCAACUUUUUCUAGUUGACCUCGAAUCAGGUAGGACUACCCGCUGAACUUAAGCAUAUCAAUAAGCGGAGGA